rnacentral:lncRNA from 1 species
GCCCCUGCUGACACCUCUCUGCCUCCCCCAGCCAGUCCCCAGGACAGUGGUCCCCAGCAGCGAACAGCAGCCCUCCUUCCUGGCCGGGACAGCUGAGUACACAGGGCUCUCUGGCGGGUCGGAGUAACCCUCGCGUGUGGCUAAGAAGUCAGAGCAAAGAAGGCAUUUAAUACAAAAGAACGGCCGCACUGCACCGCUCCUCCCUUAGACUUGCUUCCCAGAGGCAACAUCUUUUAACCCUCCCACAAUUUUUAAAAGUUCUUUUGGUGAUUUAAAUAAAAUAUGUUUAUUAUCAUUAUAUUAGUAUAUAUUAUAUACAUUAUAUGUAAUAUAGUAUAUAUUAU